UUGGCUUGAUCAUGAACAGAUGCAUAGCAAAAUGGAAAAUGUGUUAAGUGAGUUGUUGGAUUCUGCUCUGAGCCGAAGAGGACCGAGACAGAAGG
rnacentral:sRNA from 1 species